rnacentral:rRNA from 1 species
AGCAUACAAGGCAUACGGCUCAGUAACGCGUAGUCAACCUAACCUAUGGACGGGAAUAACCUCGGGAAACUGAGAAUAAUGCCCGAUAGAACAUUAUGCCUGGAAUGGUUUAUGUUCCAAAUGAUUUAUCGCCGUAGGAUGGGACUGCGGCCUAUCAGUUUGUUGGUGAGGUAAUGGCCCACCAAGACUAUUACAGGUACGGGCUCUGAGAGGAGUAGCCCGGAGAUGGGUACUGAGACACGGACCCAGGCCCUAUGGGGCGCAGCAGGCGAGAAAACUUUGCAAUGUGCGAAAGCACGACAAGGUUAAUCCGAGUGGUUUCUGCUAAAGAAACCUUUUGUCAGUCCUAGAAACACUGAUGAAUAAGGGGUGGGCAAGUUCUGGUGUCAGCCGCCGCGGUAAAACCAGCACCUCAAGUGGUCAGGAUGAUUAUUGGGCCUAAAGCAUCCGUAGCCGGCUCUGUAAGUUUUCGGUUAAAUCUGUACGCUCAACGUACGGGCUGCCGGGAAUACUGCAGAGCUAGGGAGUGGGAGAGGUAGACGGUACUCGGUAGGAAGGGGUAAAAUCCUUUGAUCUAUUGAUGACCACCUGUGGCGAAGGCGGUCUACCAGAACACGUCCGACGGUGAGGGAUGAAAGCUGGGGGAGCAAACCGGAUUAGAUACCCGGGUAGUCCCAGCUGUAAACUAUGCAAACUCAGUGAUGCAUUGGCUUGUGGCCAAUGCAGUGCUGCAGGGAAGCCGUUAAGUUUGCCGCCUGGGAAGUACGUACGCAAGUAUGAAACUUAAAGGAAUUGGCGGGGGAGCACCACAAGGGGUGAAGCCUGCGGUUCAAUUGGAGUCAACGCCGGG